CACGUAGGGCGCAAGCGUUGUCCGGAAUUAUUGGGCGUAAAGAGCUCGUAGGCGGUUUGUCGCGUCUGCUGUGAAAACCCGAGGCUCAACCUCGGGCCUGCAGUGGGUACGGGCAGACUAGAGUGCGGUAGGGGAGAAUGGAAUUCCCGGUGUAGCGGUGAAAUGCGCAGAUAUCGGGAGGAACACCGGUGGCGAAGGCGGUUCUCUGGGCCUUACCUGACGCUGGAGGAGCGAAAGCGUGGGGAGCGAACUGAUGAUAACC
rnacentral:rRNA from 1 species